AUACGGAAGGUCCGGGCGUUAUCCGGAUUUAUUGGGUUUAAAGGGAGCGCAGGCGGAGAUGCAAGCGUGACGUCAAAUUUCGGGGCUCAACCCCGUCUCGCGUCGCGAACUGCGUCCCUUGGUUGCGGGAAGGGGAGGCGGAACUCGUGGUGUAGCGGUGAAAUGCAUAGAUAUCACGAAGAACUCCGAUCGCGAAGGCAGCCUUCCGGCCCGUCAACGACGCUCAUGCUCGAAGGUGCGGGUAUCAAACAGGAUUAGAGACCCUGGUAGUCCGCACAGUAAACGAUGGACACCCGCGGUUUGGCCUAUAUGGCUGAGCCGCCAAGCGAAAGCGUUAAGUGUCCCACCUGGGGAGUACGCCGGCAACGGUGAAACUCAAAGGAAUUGACGGGG
rnacentral:rRNA from 1 species